UGAAUAGGAAGUCCUCGUGCACACUUUUGG
rnacentral:piRNA from 1 species